rnacentral:rRNA from 2 species
GGGGAGGUGCGGCGUGCUAUACAUGCAAGUCGAACGAACUCUGGUAUUGAUUGGUGCUUGCAUCAUGAUUUACAUUUGAGUGAGUGGCGAACUGGUGAGUAACACGUGGGAAACCUGCCCAGAAGCGGGGGAUAACACCUGGAAACAGAUGCUAAUACCGCAUAACAACUUGGACCGCAUGGUCCGAGUUUGAAAGAUGGCUUCGGCUAUCACUUUUGGAUGGUCCCGCGGCGUAUUAGCUAGAUGGUGGGGUAACGGCUCACCAUGGCAAUGAUACGUAGCCGACCUGAGAGGGUAAUCGGCCACAUUGGGACUGAGACACGGCCCAAACUCCUACCGGGAGGCAGCCAGUAGGGAUCUUUCCCCAAUGACGAAAGUUUGAUGGAAGCAACGCCCGCGUGAGUGAAGAAGGGUUUCGGCUCGUAAAACUCUGUUGUUAAAGAAGAACAUUAUCUGAGAGUAACUGUUCAGGUAUUGACGGUAUUUAACCAGAAAGCCACGCCUAACUACGUGCCAGCAGCCGCGGUAUUACGUAGGUGGCAAGCGUUGUCCGGAUUUUAUUGGGCGUAAAGCGAGCGCAGGCGGUUUUUAAGUCUGAUGUGAAAGCUUUCGGCUCAACCGAAGAAGUGCAUCGGAAACUGGGAAACUUGAGUGCAGAAGAGGACAGUGGAACUCCAUGUGUAGCGGUGAAAUGCGUAGAUAUAUGGAAGAACACCAGUGGCGAAGGCGGCUGUCUGGUCUGUAACUGACGCUGAGGCUCGAAAGUAUGGGUAGCAAACAGGAUUAGAUACCCUGGUAGUCCAUACCGUAAACGAUGAAUGCUAAGUGUUGGAGGGUUUCCGCCCUUCAGUGCUGCAGCUAACGCAUUAAGCAUUCCGCCUGGGGAGUACGGCCGCAAGGCUGAAACUCAAAGGAAUUGACGGGGGCCCGCACAAGCGGUGGAGCAUGUGGUUUAAUUCGAAGCUACGCGAAGAACCUUACCAGGUCUUGACAUACUAUGCAAAUCUAAGAGAUUAGACGUUCCCUUCGGGGACAUGGAUACAGGUGGUGCAUGGUUGUCGUCAGCUCGUGUCGUGAGAUGUUGGGUUAAGUCCCGCAACGAGCGCAACCCUUAUUAUCAGUUGCCAGCAUUAAGUUGGGCACUCUGGUGAGACUGCCGGUGACAAACCGGAGGAAGGUGGGGAUGACGUCAAAUCAUCAUGCCCCUUAUGACCUGGGCUACACACGUGCUACAAUGGAUGGUACAACGAGUUGCGAACUCGCGAGAGUAAGCUAAUCUCUUAAAGCCAUUCUCAGUUCGGAUUGUAGGCUGCAACUCGCCUACAUGAAGUCGGAAUCGCUAGUAAUCGCGGAUCAGCAUGCCGCGGUGAAUACGUUCCCGGGCCUUGUACACACCGCCCGUCACACCAUGAGAGUUUGUAACACCCAAAGUCGGUGGGGUAACCUUUUAGGAACCAGCCGCCUAAGGUGGGACAGAUGAUUAGGGUGAAGUCGUAACAAGAGGCCUAGCCCC